rnacentral:rRNA from 1 species
AUCAGGGGUAAACCUGUGGAAUUCGAACGAACGAACGGGGAGAUUCAACGCAGUUCCGUUAACGGGUCCGCGAUUCUUACGAUGGCGGUCGUGGCGUCGUUUACGCGGCGUUUACGCGCCGCGAUCGUUUGCGUCGUGGCAAGGCCCGCGGAGUGCGUGCACUUCUCCCUUAGUAAAACACCGCGACCCGUUCGUUUUCGAUCGAACGCGCCGUGCGGUUGUCCCGUAUCGUUUUCGCGAACGGUGCGGAGCCGCGGCGUCGCGAUCGACGACGGACGGUAAAGAACAAGGCUCGCGUUCGCCCCCCCUACGAGGGCGUCAGUGUCGCGAACCGGCCGGGCCCCGUACGCACCUCGACGUUUACGCGUCGUGGGCUGCGUGCGUCGGUUUGCUCGGCCGUAGCGUCGCGAUAUCUCUGACGGAACGCGUCCCGGUCGGCGGUGGUUUUGUUUCGGGCACUCACAGGACCC